UUGAAGUGAUGAUUACCUAGAUGACGAGUCAGAACCUCGGGUUUCCCGUUGAUGACAACCUUUUUUUUAAUACCAUUCAUGCAUUUCUGAUU
rfam:Lodderomyces elongisporus NRRL YB-4239 cont1.86, whole genome shotgun sequence.